GGUGGCCCGUGCCGGUCCCCUCGCAACGUGAAACCGUGAACCCGGUCAGGCCCGGAAGGGAGCAGCCGCAGCGGUGGAAUCGUGUGCCGGGGUGUGGCUGGCGCGGGUCGCCGCCCCCAUAGG
rnacentral:SRP_RNA from 1 species